rnacentral:piRNA from 1 species
UGAACCUGGUCUCCAAAGUCAUGAAAUUUG